ACCCAUGCAUGAACGGAGGUACCUGUGAGAACAGAGCAUGUACAUGUCCUGCUCCUUUUACUGGAUCGUUGUGUGACGAAGUUAACUGUACUGGUGACCCAUGCAUGAACGGAGGUACCUGUGAGAACGAUAGAUGUAUAUGUCCUGCUCCUUUUACUGGAUCGUUGUGUGACGAAGUUAACUGUACUGGUGACCCAUGCAUGAACGGAGGUACCUGUGAGAACGGAGCAUGUUCAUGUCCUGCUCCUUUUACUGGAUCGUUGUGUG